rnacentral:rRNA from 1 species
GACAAUAAGAGGAACCACUUAAAAAUAUUUAUGGUGGUGUCACAAAAUCGGAGGCCACGACUGUUUACUAAAAACACAAUUCAGAGCAAUGAUGAAAAUCAUAGUAUUCUGGAUGAAAUUUGCCCGAUGCCAUUAACAUAAAAGAGGUAAUGGGAAACUGUUACUAAUUGAAAGUCUGGUUAAUAGCGGUCUUAACUAUGAGGAUCCUAAGGUAGCAAAAUCAGUUGGCCAUUAAAUGUGGUCUGGUAUCAAUAGUGUAACGAUGGUCUCACUGUCUCUACAACUUGCUCAGUGAAAUUGAAUUAUCCGUGCAGAUGCGGAUUGCCUCCAGGUGGACGGGAAAACCCUAUGCAGCUCUA